CCUACGGGGUGCAGCAGUGGGGAAUAUUGGGCAAUGGGCGCAAGCCUGACCCAGCAACGCCGCGUGAAGGAAGAAGGCUUUCGGGUUGUAAACUUCUUUUAUCAGGGACGAAGCAAGUGACGGUACCUGAUGAAUAAGCCACGGCUAACUACGUGCCAGCAGCCGCGGUAAUACGUAGGUGGCAAGCGUUAUCCGGAUUUACUGGGUGUAAAGGGCGUGUAGGCGGGAGAGCAAGUCAGAUGUGAAAACCAUGGGCUCAACCUGUGGCCUGCAUUUGAAACUGUUUUGCUUGAGUACUGGAGAGGCAGACGGAAUUCCUAGUGUAGCGGUGAAAUGCGUAGAUAUUAGGAGGAACACCAGUGGCGAAGGCGGUCUGCUGGACAGCAACUGACGCUGAGGCGCGAAAGCGUGGGGAGCAAACAGGAUUAGAUACCCUGGUAGUC
rnacentral:rRNA from 1 species